rnacentral:lncRNA from 1 species
CUGUGGGCCUUCAGGCCACCUUGAGCCACUCAGUUCUGGUCUCUGGAGGGGAGGCUCUAAGUUCCUUGCAGCUCGCUGCUGCCCAGCUGGCUCUGCCGGGAGAUGACUGCUCCAGAGGCCGAGGCACUCAGGGAUCGCUGUCUGCGAAGUUUACUGGGGCUCCUGAGACCAACACACAGGAAUCACUGGCAUUCCCGACUGAUGGUGUGACUCAUUCCUCAAGCAUUGCCCGUGGGGGCCAGGCAGCUGGCUGAAUCCGGAUCUGGAGAGCUCUGGAGCCUAUGUCAGAGGAUGGGUGUAGGGGUGAAGAAGGUAUGCUGUACGUUCAUGUAGUCCGGUGAUUGCGUUUUCUGCUCCACCAGCACCUUCUCUGUUUGUGCUAAGCUACGUGUCCUUUACUGUGCCUCCAUGCUCUUCAUUCCUCUGUGCCUUUGUUCAAGCCGACCCUUCGAACUGGAAUGUCUCCCUCCCUUUUCCUGUCCUAUAGUCUGGUAGGGCCAUCUCCUCCUGAAAGUCCUCCAUAACCCUUCUCUCCGGUCCCAUAGCAAUCCCUGCCUUCCUUUAUCAAACACUAGGCUCUGCGCACAGUUGUAUCCCUCCCCUGCGGUCCCCAUCUCCCCUGUAGCAAAAGGAGACCGCAGCUCCUUACACGUGGGGAUCCCUGCUUCCUCAGCUGUUUCUGUCGCAGCAUCCAGUGUGAGCUUGCCAUGUAAUAGGCAACUGGCAAAUAAAUAGCUACUUUGCUUUUCUUCA